rnacentral:rRNA from 1 species
CUUGUACACACCGCCCGUCGCUACUACCGAUUGAAUGGCUCAGUGAGGCGUCCGGACUGGCCCAGAGAGGUGGGCAACUACCACUCAGGGCCGGAAAGCUCUCCAAACUCGGUCAUUUAGAGGAAGUAAAAGUCGUAACAAGGUCUCCGUUGGUGAACCAGCGGAGGGAUCAUUACCGAGUUUAC